UUCAGAAUCAUAUGCAGAGUUUCAUGACUUACAUUGUGAAUCUUAUGAAGCAAGAGAAACUUUUUGCGUCUCAGGGAGGUCCUAUAAUCUUGGCUCAGGCGAGUAAAACGAUCACCCAGGAGACAGUAAUUUACAUCAUUAGCAGUUUAUCAUGGCCAGACUUUUGGUUUCUUGUAACUGCAGGUGGAAAAUGAAUAUGGAUUUUAUGAGCAAUAUUAUGGAGAAGGUGGGAAGAAAUAUGCCAUAUGGGCAGCUAAUAUGGCUGUUGCUCAAAAUACCGGUGUUCCUUGGAUAAUGUGCCAGCAAUUUGAUGCUCCUG
rnacentral:lncRNA from 1 species